rnacentral:rRNA from 1 species
CACCCUUUAAUGGCUGGUGUUCUAACGUAGACCCGUAAUCCGGGUUGCGGACAGUGUCUGGUGGGUAGUUUGACUGGGGCGGUCUCCUCCCAAAGAGUAACGGAGGAGCACGAAGGUUGGCUAAUCCUGGUCGGACAUCAGGAGGUUAGUGCAAUGGCAUAAGCCAGCUUGACUGCGAGCGUGACGGCGCGAGCAGGUGCGAAAGCAGGUCAUAGUGAUCCGGUGGUUCUGAAUGGAAGGGCCAUCGCUCAACGGAUAAAAGGUACUCCGGGGAUAACAGGCUGAUACCGCCCAAGAGUUCAUAUCGACGGCGGUGUUUGGCACCUCGAUGUCGGCUCAUCACAUCCUGGGGCUGAAGUAGGUCCCAAGGGUAUGGCUGUUCGCCAUUUAAAGUGGUACGCGAGCUGGGUUUAGAACGUCGUGAGACAGUUCGGUCCCUAUCUGCCGUGGGCGCUGGAGAAUUGAGGGGGGCUGCUCCUAGUACGAGA